rnacentral:rRNA from 1 species
AAUGAACGCUGGCGGCAGGCCUAACACAUGCAAGUCGAACGGAUCCUUCGGGAUUAGUGGCGGACGGGUGAGUAACGCGUGGGAACAUACCUUUUGGUACGGAAUAGCCUCGGGAAACUGGGAGUAAUACCGUAUGUGGUCGAGAGACGAAAGAUUUAUCGCCAAAGGAUUGGCCCGCGUUGGAUUAGGUAGUUGGUGGGGUAAUGGCCUACCAAGCCGACGAUCCAUAGCUGGUUUGAGAGGAUGAUCAGCCACACUGGGACUGAGACACGGCCCAGACUCCUACGGGAGGCAGCAGUGGGGAAUCUUGGACAAUGGGGGAAACCCUGAUCUAGCCAUGCCGCGUGAUCGAUGAAGGCCUUAGGGUUGUAAAGAUCUUUCAGGUGGGAAGAUAAUGACUGUACCACCAGAAGAAGCCCCGGCUAACUCCGUGCCAGCCGCCGCGGUAA